GAGGCCUUCGGACUGGCCCAGGGAGGUCGGCAACGACCACCCAGGGCCGGAAAGUUGGUCAAACCCGGUCAUUUAGAGGAAGUAAAAGUCGUAACAAGGUCUCCGUAGGUGAACCUGCGGAGGGAUCAUUA
rnacentral:rRNA from 1 species